AUUGAACGCUGGCGGCAUGCUUUACACAUGCAAGUCGAACGGCAGCACGGGGGCAACCCUGGUGGCGAGUGGCGAACGGGUGAGUAAUACAUAGGAACGUGUCCUGAAAUGGGGGAUAGCUCGGCGAAAGCCGGAUUAAUACCGCAUACGAUCCACGGAUGAAAGCAGGGGAUUCGCAAGAACCUUGCGUUUCUGGAGCGGCCUAUGUCUGAUUAGCUAGUUGGCGGGGUAAAGCCCACCAAGGCGACGAUCAGUAGCUGGUCUGAGAGGAUGAUCAGCCACACUGGGACUGAGACACGGCCCAGACUCCUACGGGAGGCAGCAGUGGGAAUUUUGGACAAUGGGGCAACCCUGAUCCAGCCAUGCCGCGUGAGUGAAGAAGGCCU
rnacentral:rRNA from 1 species